rnacentral:rRNA from 1 species
CCAGGAUGUUGGCUUAGAAGCAGCCAUCAUUUAAAGAAAGCGUAAUAGCUCACUGGUCGAGUCGGCCUGCGCGGAAGAUGUAACGGGGCUAAACCAUGCACCGAAGCUGCGGCAGCGAACGUAUCACCCAAGACAACUUUACGGAGUUGACGAUUGACGGAGCGAAGCGACGUCAAAGCGUUCAUUAAAGUCGAGUUGGCUUAGGGAUACGUUCGUUGGGUAGGGGAGCGUUCUGUAAGCCUGUGAAGGUGGCCUGUGAGGGAUGCUGGAGGUAUCAGAAGUGCGAAUGCUGACAUAAGUAACGAUAAAGCGGGUGAAAAGCCCGCUCGCC